CUCUUAUCCCGAGCUGGUGGAGGGACAGGCCCUAUGAAACCCGGCAACCUGCCGUUCUCCGUGUAUGGAGGCCGAGAAGGUGCCAACCUGAAGCAAGGCGUCUGCCUUGGACGAUAAGAG
rnacentral:ncRNA from 2 species